AACGAACGCUGGCGGCAUGCCUAACACAUGCAAGUCGAACGAAGGCUUCGGCCUUAGUGGCGCACGGGUGCGGAACGCGUGGGAAUCUGCCCUUGGGUUCGGAAUAACAGCUGGAAACGGCUGCUAAUACCGGAUGAUGACGAAAGGCCAAAGAUUUAUCGCUAGAGGAUGAGCGCGCGAUGGAUUAGGUAGUUGGUGGGGUAAAGGCCGACCAAGCCGAGGAUCCCUAGCUGGUCUGAGAGGAUGAUCAGCCACACUGGGACUGAGACACGGCCCAGACUCCUACGCAAGGGUGCAGUGGGGAGUAUUGGAGGAUGAGGGCAAGUCUGAUCCCGCAAUGCCGCGUGAGUCGUGAAGGGCGUAGGGUUGUAAAGCUGUUUUACCCGAGAAGAUAAUGACGGUACCGGGAGAAUAAGCACCGGCUAACUACGUG
rnacentral:rRNA from 1 species